UCAAACUUGGUCAUUUAGAGGAAGUAAAAGUCGUAACAAGGUUUCCGUAGGUGAACCUGCGGAAGGAUCAUUACAAAUCUGGUUGGGGGGCGGGUGGGAGGGGAGGAGAGGAGGGCGUUUUGAACGCGCUCUUUGCUCCUCCCAACCGACCGCCCGACCCACACAUUUGCGCUUGUUGUGUUUGACAGAGUAACGGUUACCCAUACUAUGAGACAACUUUUAACAAUGGAUCUCUUGGCUCCUGCAUCGAUGAAGAACGCAGC
rnacentral:misc_RNA from 1 species